CUCCUACGGGAGGCUGCAGUGAGGAAUAUUGGUCAAUGGGGGGAACCCUGAACCAGCCAUCCCGCGUGCAGGAAGACAGUUCUAUGGAUUGUAAACUGCUUUUCUUGGGGAAGAAUAAUGACGACGUGUCGUCAGAUGACGGUACCCGAGGAAUAAGCAUCGGCUAACUCCGUGCCAGCAGCCGCGGUAAUACGGAGGAUGCAAGCGUUAUCCGGAUUUAUUAGGUUUAAAGGGUGUGUAGGCGGAUGUAUAAGUCAGUGGUGAAAGUCAGCAGCUUAACUGUAGAAUUGCCAUUGAUACUGUAUGUCUUGAGUGUGGUUGAGGUAUGCGGAAUGUGUAAUGUAGCGGUGAAAUGCAUAGAUAUUACACAGAACACCGAUUGCGAAGGCAGCAUGCUAAGCCACAACUGACGCUGAUGCACGAAAGCGUGGGGAUCAAACAGGAUUAGAUACCCUGGUAGUCCACGCUGUAAACGAUGAUUACUAGCUGUUGGCGAUACAAAGUCAGUGGCCAAGCGAAAGCAAUAAGUAAUCCACCUGGGGAGUACGAUCGCAAGAUUGAAACUCAAAGGAAUUGACGGGGG
rnacentral:rRNA from 1 species